rnacentral:rRNA from 1 species
CGUACACUCCUGCGGGAGGCAGCAGUGGGGAAUAUUGCACAAUGGGCGCAAGCCUGAUGCAGCGACGCCGCGUGGGGGAUGAAGGCCUUCGGGUUGUAAACUCCUUUCGCUAGGGACGAAGCUUUUUUGUGACGGUACCUAGAUAAGAAGCACCGGCUAACUACGUGCCAGCAGCCGCGGUAAUACGUAGGGUGCGAGCGUUGUCCGGAAUUACUGGGCGUAAAGGGCUCGUAGGUGGUUUGUCGCGUCGUCUGUGAAAUUCUGGGGCUUAACUCCGGGCGUGCAGGCGAUACGGGCAUAACUUGAGUGCUGUAGGGGUAACUGGAAUUCCUGGUGUAGCGGUGAAAUGCGCAGAUAUCAGGAGGAACACCGAUGGCGAAGGCAGGUUACUGGGCAGUUACUGACGCUGAGGAGCGAAAGCAUGGGUGGCGAACAGGAUUAGAAACCCCGGUAGUCC